UGUGUAGGCGGUUGCGCAAGUCUGGUGUGAAAUCUUCACCGCUUAACGGGAAGAGGUCACUGGAAACUGCGUAACUCGAGUAUGGUAGAGGCAAGCGGAAUUCCUGGUGUAGCGGUGGAAUGUGUAGAUAUCAGGAAGAACACCGGUGGCGAAGGCGGCUUGCUGGGCCAUCACUGACGCUGAGACACGAAAGCGUGGGGAGCAAACGGGAUUAGAUACCCCGGUAGUCCACGCUGUAAACGGUGCGCACUAGGUGUGGGAGGUAUCGACCCCUCCUGUGCCGAAGCAAACGCAUUAAGUGCGCCGCCUGGGGAGUACGGCCGCAAGGUUGAA
rnacentral:rRNA from 1 species